CCUACGGGAGGCAGCAGUGAGGAAUAUUGGUCAAUGGGCGCAAGCCUGAACCAGCCAUGCCGCGUGCAGGAUGAAGCAUCUAUGGUGUGUAAACUGCUUUUGUACGGGAAGAAACACCGAUUCGUGAAUCGGCUUGACGGUACCGUAAGAAUAAGGACCGGCUAACUCCGUGCCAGCAGCCGCGGUAAUACGGAGGGUCCAAGCGUUAUCCGGAAUCAUUGGGUUUAAAGGGUCCGUAGGCGGCCAGGUAAGUCAGUGGUGAAAGCCCAUCGCUCAACGGUGGAACGGCCAUUGAUACUGCCAGGCUUGAAUUUCUGGGAAGUAACUAGAAUAUGUAGUGUAGCGGUGAAAUGCUUAGAUAUUACAUGGAAUACCAAUUGCGAAGGCAGGUUACUACCAGUGGAUUGACGCUGAUGGACGAAAGCGUGGGUAGCGAACAGGAUUAGAUACCCUGGUAGUCCACGCCGUAAACGAUGGAUACUAGCUGUUCGGGGCAACCUGAGUGGCUAAGCGAAAGUGAUAGUAUCCACCUGGGGAGUACGGGCGCAAGCCGUUGAACGUAAAGUUAGAGUAGAGGCGNGNGAGNGCGAGACGACACGAGGAGAGG
rnacentral:rRNA from 1 species